rnacentral:rRNA from 1 species
GACGAACGCUGGCGGCAUGCCUAACACAUGCAAGUCUAGGGGUAGCAAUACCACUGGCGCACGGGUGAGUAACACGUAGGUUAUCUCGCCCCCAUCACAGACAUAACCCCGGGAAACCGGGGCUAAUAUCUGAUGAGGUCGCGAGAUCAAAGCUUCGGCGGAUGGGAUGAGCCUGCGGCUGAUUAGCUAGUUGGUGAGGUAAUGGCUCACCAAGGCGACGAUCAGUAGCUGGUCUGAGAGGACGAACAGCCACACUGGAACUGAGACACGGUCCAGACUCCUACGGGAGGCAGCAGUGAGGAAUAUUGGUCAAUGGGGAGCAAUCCUGAACCAGCAAUGCCGCGUGUGGGAUGACAGGGCUUCGCCUUGUAAACCACUGUCGGACGGGACGAAAGGAGGCCUCGGGGUCUCGUGGGACGGUACCGUCAAAGGAAGGGUCGGCUAACUACGUGCCAGCAGCCGCGGUAAU